rnacentral:rRNA from 1 species
GAUGAACGCUAGCUACAGGCUUAACACAUGCAAGUCGAGGGGUAGCAGGGUAGCAAUACCGCUGACGACCGGCGCACGGGUGAGUAACACGUAUCCAACCUUCCCAUAACUCGGGGAUAGCCUUUCGAAAGAAAGAUUAAUACCCGAUAGUACUUUAUCAAGGCAUCUUUUUAAAGUUAAAGAUUUAUUGGUUAUGGAUGGGGAUGCGUUCCAUUAGAUAGUUGGUGAGGUAACGGCUCACCAAGUCUUCGAUGGAUAGGGGUUCUGAGAGGAAGGUCCCCCACAUUGGUACUGAGACACGGACCAAACUCCUACGGGAGGCAGCAGUGAGGAAUAUUGGUCAAUGGGCGAGAGCCUGAACCAGCCAAGUAGCGUGAAGGAUGAAGGUCCUAUGGAUUGUAAACUUCUUUUAUAGUAGAAUAAAGUGAGCCACGUGUGGUUUUUGUAUGUAUACUAUGAAUAAGGAUCGGCUAACUCCGUG